UGGGGAAUCUUCCGCAAUGGACGAAAGUCUGACGGAGCAACGCCGCGUGAGUGAAGAAGGUUUUCGGAUCGUAAAGCUCUGUUUUCAGGGACGAACGGCAGGUAUGUGAACAAUAUAACUGCAUGACGGUACCUGAAGAGGAAGCCACGGCUAACUACGUGCCAGCAGCCGCGGUAAUACGUAGGUGGCAAGCGUUGUCCGGAAUUAUUGGGCGUAAAGGGCGUGUAGGCGGGAUAACAAGUCUGUUGUAAAAGUGCGGGGCUCAACCCCGUAAGGUCAAUGGAAACUGUUAUUCUUGAGUGCAGGAGAGGAAAGUGGAAUUCCCAGUGUAGCGGUGAAAUGCGUAGAUAUUGGGAGGAACACCAGUGGCGAAGGCGACUUUCUGGACUGUGUCUGACGCUGAGGCGCGAAAGCCAGGGUAGCGAACGGG
rnacentral:rRNA from 2 species